CUUAGAUUGGUUUACCUAUUUAUGGGUACUUGGUUCACUCAUAUAUGGGUAAACUCAAUAAUAUCAAUAUUAUUAGUAGAAUUUACUCAAAAAUUUGGUAAAAUUUACUGAUAUUCUAAAAAAAACUGACUUUACCUAUAUUUGAGUAACUGACUUCACCCAUAUUUGGGUGAAAAAAUAAACAUCAACAAAUCUGAAGUGAUGGCCACCGCGUCGCAGCUUUUUUUAAAUUUCCCCCUUUUAUUUUAAACUAAAGUCGAAAACCGCUGAUGUUACGAGUGCACUUAUUCAUAUAUGAAUAUAAGGUGGCAGCUUUUCGACGAUCUGUUUCAGUUCCGAUCUCGGUUCCGAUCAAUAGCACCAUAUCGAUCAUCUUGCAGGUGGUGAUCGACGAUUAUACCGGAGAUAGCAAGAACGGACACUACUUCCCGGGGGAGAUCUUCUAUUCACAGCUGCGAGCCUUUGACCCCAAACGGCUUGGAACAUUUUAGAGAGACUACAGUGCUUCAGCAUCGAUGUUCCUCCAGCAACCGCCUCAGCUUUGACGUUAGGAGCGCUAAAGGCAUACAUUGCAAUUACAACAGCAUUGAUUCAUUUAAGUAUUGAUCCUUCUAUUCGUAAGAAGAAAGACACCAGCUAUUUCCUCAUCUCAAGAGGUAAAAAUCAGAAGACCUCUUCAGCGCGAGUGCAAAUAAGGACGUCAUUGAACAAUGAAUCAGGCAAAAUUCCCAAGGCCGACAAAGCUGUACGUGUUUCAAAAAGCUCAGACCGGAAGCAAAAAACGGAUAUCUUGUCGAUGUUCGUUUCAAUCUGCAUCACUGAAUGUUGCCUCGCGUUGUUGUUCUCAAUUGUCAGGAAAACUCCUGUCGAAAUCACACCCAGACUGCAGAUUAUUUUGAAAUAAUUGAUCUUUCUGCGGUCUGUCACAACCAACAACAUAUCUUCGGAACACCAGUUCCGGAAUGGCAUGCCUUCACACUUCGUCAUCAUUAAUGUACCAAUUUGUUGUCAGCUAACUUGUGUACUAAUGCUAGCUACGAUUAACGUUUAUUUCAUCAUACUGCUGCUGAUGGAUGUUCCGGGCCGUACGGGAUUGCUGACAUCAGUUCCUAUAGAGGUACACUGCUGGUCAUGAAACAAUAGCCAAGUAUACAGCAACAUUAUUAUUUUAUGUAAAAUGUUUUAUGAAAAUGUUUAAACUAAUAAAUAUUUUAUUUUAUACCCAUUUUAGAAAUAAAAAUUGUUUGCCUAA